rnacentral:rRNA from 1 species
GACGAACGCUGGCGGCGGGCUUAACACAUGCAAGUCGAAGGGAAAGGCCGUGCAUUUGUGUGGUGCUCGAGAGGCGAACGGGGGAGUAACACGUGAGUAACCUGCCCUUGACUUUGGGGGAACUUCGGGAAAAUGGGGCUAAUACCGGAUAGGAGCUCCUGCUGCAUGGGGGGGGAUGGAGAGUUUCGGCGGGUGGGGAUGGACUCGCGGCUUCUUAGCUGGUGGGUGGGGGAGUGGCGUACCCAGGCUCUGACGGGUAGCCGGCCUGUGAGGGUGACGGGCCACGUUGGGACUGAGUUCCGGCGCAGACUGCUACGGGAGGCAGAAGUGGGGAAUAUGGCACAACGGGCGGAGGCCUGAUGCAGAAGCGCCCCGUGCGGGAUGACGGCCGUUGGGGUGUAAGCCGCUUUAGGCUGUGACGAACGGUGGGUGACGGUACCGGGUAAAGAAGCACCGGCUAACUACGUG